rnacentral:rRNA from 1 species
GUGAAUCAUCGAAUCUUUGAACGCAUCUUGCACCCUUUGGUAUUUCAAAGGGUAUGCCUGUUUGAGUGUCGUUAACCUCUCAACGCAAAUCAUGUUUAUUGGUUUGUGCUUGGACUUUGAAGGUUUUGCUGGCCUUUACAAGGUCAGCUCCUUUUAAAUGUAUUAGCAGGACUAUGCACGGACUAGCUUCGGUUUGAUAAGCCUUUUAUCUAUGCUGUCGCUAACAAGGCUGUGUUCAGCUUCUAAUUGUCUUUGGACUGUCUCAUUUACGAGGCAUUACAAUUAUUUGACAUUGACCUCAAAUCAGGUAGGACUACCCGCUGAACCUAAGCAUAUCAAUAAGGCGAGG